GAGAGUCUCUUUGAUUAUAUUUAAUAAAGAGUCGGGCCUGCUCGGUGAUUAAUAUUUAACAGCUGCGGUAUUAUAACUGUACUAAGGUAGCAUAAUAAUUUGCUCUAUAAAUUGGGGCUAGAAUGAAUGGUUUGACGAAAAUUGAACUGUCUCUAUUUUAUUUAUUAGAAAUUAAUUGUUAUAGUGAGAAAGCUUGGAUAAUUUAAAGGGACGAGAAGACCCUAUUGAGCUUGUGUUAAAAAAAUAAAUAUUAUAUAAUAUGAUGUUUAUUUCUGUUAAAUUUGGUUGGGGUGAUCAAGGAAUAAUAAAAAUUUAUGUAGUAGAUUAACUUCCUUAUAUAGUAAUAUUAAUAGGUAAAUAAACCAAAUUUUUUGCUUAUAAGAUAAGUUACCUUAGGGAUAACAGCGUAAUUUUUUUUGAGAGUUCAUAUUGAAAAAAGAGAUUGCGACCUCGAUGUUGGAUUAAAAUAACCUUAAGGUGUAGAGGCUUUAUUAGGUAAAUCUGUUCGAUUUUUAAAAUUUU
rnacentral:rRNA from 1 species